rnacentral:rRNA from 1 species
AUUGAACGCUGGCGGCAUGCCUUACACAUGCAAGUCGAACGGCAGCAUGGAGAGCUUGCUCUCUGAUGGCGAGUGGCGAACGGGUGAGUAAAGCAUCGGAACGUACCGUGUAGUGGGGGAUAACGUAGCGAAAGUUACGCUAAUACCGCAUACGCACUGAGGUGGAAAGCAGGGGAUCGUAAGACCUUGCGCUAUACGAGCGGCCGAUGUCAGGUUAGCUAGUUGGUAGGGUAAAGGCCUACCAAGGCGACGAUCUGUAGCGGGUCUGAGAGGAUGAUCCGCCACGCUGGGACUGAGACACGGCCCAGACUCCUACGGGAGGCAGCAGUGGGGAAUUUUGGACAAUGGGGGCAACCCUGAUCCAGCCAUGCCGCGUGAGUGAAGAAGGCCUUCGGGUUGUAAAGCUCUUUCGGCCGGGAAGAAAUCGCACAGGCUAAUACCCUGUGUGGAUGACGGUACCGGCAUAAGAAGCACCGGCUAACUACGUGCCAGCCGCCGCGGUAA